GAGCCGAGGAGCAGGCAGCUACAAUGGAGCGGGAAGAGGAAAUGCUGAUGUGGCAGAGAUGGCGGCGAACUCACAGCAGGAUGAUUGGUUUGAGGGAUGAAGAUGGAAGGAGAACUGCUGGAGAAACCAGGCCGGGUGACGCAGCGGCGGGAGCCGGUGAGGAGGCAGGGCUACCUUGGCGACGCUUAGCAGGAGAAGAGUAGGAGUUCUUGAUGCACUUUCCGCAAGGAAGAAAUGAGCCAUGAAGAGAGGCAAGCGCUCCUACGAGCGGUAGGGGAGGAAGGAGAGUCUGUUACAAACAGUGCGAGGAGGCGUCGGAGUCGUAGAUGAGCUCAGUUGACAAGCGAAGAUGAACACGGUAGAAGUUCCUUUAAAAGCAAGGCAUCAGAAGGUGAUUGGAUGGAGAAUCAGACAGACAGGAUGCUGAUUGGAAGGGCGGGAGACGCACCGAAGAGUCACUGGAAGGUGGAGUACAGGGGCCACAACAGGAGCCAGGACAAGUUCCACAGGGGCACUGGUCCCUGUUGGACCCUGUCUAGAACUGCCCAUGAGUGAAGGAAGUGACCUAAGAAAAGCAGGCAAGUAGUUCGACGGGAAUUGGUCCUUUAUGUAAACUUUAAGAGAUUUGAAGUUUCUUUUUUGCUGUUAUGAGAAUAAACUUUCUCAUUUUACUAAAAUAUGUCUUGAACAUUUACUUUUAAAACCACUAUUGUUUAGGAUUUUGUUACUGGACAACCUUCAAAUCCUUAGAUCAGAGCGUUUCCCACUGUCCAAACAUAAAAAUUCUCAUUCGCUACAAAAAGGUUUUAUGUCUUUCCAUCUAUUCACAAACUGUUGAGGAUCAUUUUAACGCAUUGGUGUAAUCUUUUGUAAACUCAAGUUGAUGUUGGAAUAAUUGUAUAUAGAUGUAUCUUAUAUUUUUUCCUUUUCUAUUAACUUUACAAUUUGAUCUUUAUAACCUUUCAUGCUGUAUGUGUGAGUAAGGACGUGAUGAGUUUGUUUG